GGCGAGAUAGCUCAACGGUAGAGCAUCAGAUUGUUAAUCCGAGUGUUACAGGUUCGAAUCCUGUCGUCU
rnacentral:tRNA from 1 species